AUUGAACGCUGGCGGCAUGCUUUACACAUGCAAGUCGAACGGCAGCGCGGGCUUCGGCCUGGCGGCGAGUGGCGAACGGGUGAGUAAUACAUCGGAACGUGCCCAGUAGUGGGGGAUAGCUCGGCGAAAGCCGGAUUAAUACCGCAUACGACCUGAGGGUGAAAGCGGGGGAUCUUCGGACCUCGCGCUAUUGGAGCGGCCGAUGGCAGAUUAGCUAGUUGGUGGGGUAAAGGCCUACCAAGGCGACGAUCUGUAGCUGGUCUGAGAGGACGACCAGCCACACUGGGACUGAGACACGGCCCAGACUCCUACGGGAGGCAGCAGUGGGGAAUUUUGGACAAUGGGUGAAAGCCUGAUCCAGCAAGGCCGCGUGUGAUGAAGGCCUUCGGGUUGUAAAGCACUUUUGGCGGGAACGAAAAGGACUGUGCCAAUACCACGGUUCGAUGACGGUACCCGCAGAAUAAGCACCGGCUAACUACGUG
rnacentral:rRNA from 1 species